UAAAGAUCGAUGACCAGGAAGAGUACACAUGAAAAGAGGGUUACAGCGAGCCAAUGGCAGUGGGAGUUUGGCACUACUCGGCAUGUGGAAUGGGCCUGGGAGAUGCAGUCCGAGCCGCGCAAGCGGGGUAGGCGCUGCCGGAGACUCCCGCCGUUAUCAGGGAGCGGGUAUCGGAUAUUGUUUCCCGUACCUAGUGAGCUGGGCUGCUUGGCAGCCAAUUAGGGUGGCACCGCGAGUUAACCCCUCGUCCCUUAC
rnacentral:ncRNA from 1 species